UACGUAGGGGGCAAGCGUUGUCCGGAAUCAUUGGGCGUAAAGCGCGUGUAGGCGGCCCGGUAAGUCCGCUGUAAAAGUCCAGGGCUCAACCCUGGAAAGCCGGUGGAUACUGUCGGGCUCGAGUCCGGAAGAGGCGAGUGGAAUUCCUGGUGUAGCGGUGAAAUGCGCAGAUAUCAGGAGGAACACCGAUGGCGAAGGCAGCCCCCUGGGCCAACACUGACGCUCAGGCACGAAAGCGUGGGGAGCAAACAGG
rnacentral:rRNA from 1 species